rnacentral:rRNA from 1 species
CAGCAGCCACGGUAAUACAGAGGGUGCGAGCGUUAAUCGGAUUUACUGGGCGUAAAGCGUGCGUAGGCGGCUUUUUAAGUCGGAUGUGAAAUCCCUGAGCUUAACUUAGGAAUUGCAUUCGAUACUGGGAAGCUAGAGUAUGGGAGAGGAUGGUAGAAUUCCAGGUGUAGCGGUGAAAUGCGUAGAGAUCUGGAGGAAUACCGAUGGCGAAGGCAGCCAUCUGGCCUAAUACUGACGCUGAGGUACGAAAGCAUGGGGAGCAAACAGGAUUAGAUACCCCCGUAGUCCCUGUCUCUUAUAA